rnacentral:lncRNA from 1 species
AGCAAUAAAAGAUGUCUCCAUGCUGAAGGAGCAUGUGGUCUGGUGGGGAAGAUGCACAUAGAUGAGAGGACGGGCAUCUGUGACCCUCAGAAGCACCUUCCUGUUUCACAGGCCUUGUCUGACCAGCAGGCUCCCAGGAAAGAGGAUGAACAAGGCUGUGGAGCACCACGUGGUGAGCAGGGCUGGAAUUUGCUCCCACAUCUCGACAGCCACGCUGCCCGUCACACCUUUUCUUUCAUCUUUUCAUUGUUAGUUGCUCAGUCAUGUCCAACUCUUUGCAACCCUGUGGACUAUAGCCUGCCAGGUUCCUCUAUCCAUGGAAUUCUUCAGGCAAGAACACUGCAGUGGGUAGCCAGCCAUUCUUUUCUCCAGGGGAUCUUCCUGAUCCAGGGAUCAAACCCCAAGUCUCCCUCAUUGUAGAAAGAUUCUUUACUGUCUGAGCCACCAGGGCCUUUUUGGCUUCUCAAAGACUACAUUUGCCUCAAAUAUUUGCAUGGCUCUUGGCUGUCUGUGGUGCUUCCAUGGAGUCCAGUGACUUUUAUCAAUGCUUCACUUUCUGUCCUAAAGUGAACUGCAACCUGCAGAAACUGCAGGUCAGAAGAGGAGAAAAAAGGUAAGUCGGUGACUGAAACCAGAGGUGACAACCAGAAGCAGCAACAGGGGAGGUGACAAAGCAGAUAAGAGAAUUUGACGAACUUCAAACCCUGGGAAUAUUUGGUGGAAGGGCAAUAUUCUUGAGGGCAUCCAUGUACUUAGGAGUUUUAUAAGACUGCUGCAGCCUACCAGGCUCCUCCAUCCAAGGGAUUUUCCAGGCAAGAAUACUGGAGUGGGGUGCCAUUGCCUUCUCCGAUAAGACUGCACAGAGGAUCCUAUUCCAGGCAACCGAAAACCUGGGCUACAACCACUUGGGAAAUGGUCUGUGUGGGAGGACAGGGCUCCCAUGAGCUGCGAAGGCUGACUUUGCUAUGUAGCCAGGAAUUGUAGCUGCCCACACCUGCAGGUCUUAUCUGACCAGUGAAAGUGCAGGUCCCCGGGAGCAGGGGCCGUGCUAGAGCUGUGUUAGGGCAAUGUCAGGAGGCAGCCCUUCAGUCUGGAGCCAGAUUGUCUGUGUCCAUAUCCCAUCUCUGCCACUUGGUUUAUUUUUUAAACAUUUAAUUGAAGUAUAGAUGAUUUACAAUGCAGUGCUAAUUUCUGCUGUAUGGCAAAGUGACUCAGUUAUACACAUAUAUAUUCUAUCAACUGUGGAAAAUUCUGAAAGACAUGGGAAUACCAGACCACCUGAUCUGCCUCUUGAGAAAUCUGUAUGCAGUUCAGGAAGCAACAGUUAGAACUGGACAUGGAACAACAGACUGGUUCCAAAUAGGAAAAGGAGUACGCCAAGGCUGUAUAUUGUCACCCUGCUUAUUUAACUUAUAUGCAG